rnacentral:rRNA from 1 species
CGCUGGCGGCGUGCCUAACACAUGCAAGUCGAACGGCUUUUCUAUGGAAGCUUGCUUCCACUGAGAAGAUAGUGGCGAACGGGUGAGUAACACGUGGGUAACCUGCCCAUAAGAGGGGGGAUAACAUCCGGAAACGGGUGCUAAUACCGCAUAGUUUUCUUGAUCGCAUGAUUGAGAAAGGAAAGACGGCCUUUGUGCUGUCGCUUAUGGAUGGACCCGCGGCGUAUUAGUUAGUUGGUGAGGUAACGGCUCACCAAGACGAUGAUACGUAGCCGACCUGAGAGGGUGAUCGGCCACAUUGGGACUGAGACACGGCCCAAACUCCUACGGGAGGCAGCAGUAGGGAAUCUUCCGCAAUGGACGAAAGUCUGACGGAGCAACGCCGCGUGAGUGAAGAAAAGGUUUUCGGAUCGUAAAACUCUGUUGUCAGAGAAGAACAAGUUGGAGAGUAACUGCUCCAGCCUUGACGGUAUCUGACCAGAGAGCCACGGCUAACUACGUGCCAGCCGCGGC